rnacentral:lncRNA from 1 species
UUUUAUAUAUAUAUAUAUAUAUAUAUAUAUAUAUAUAAAUAACAUUGUUAGAAAUUGAAAAAUUUUGAUUGGAUUUAUUUCUUUAAUAAAUUUUAACACUAGGGCGUGUUUGGUUCGAAGUCGGAGUCGGAAUCGGAAUCGGAAUCGGAAUCAAAAUAAGCUGGAAUCGGAAUCAAAAUGACUCAUUACCUAAUUCUGUUUGAUUCAUCACCUGAAUCGGAAUCGGAAUAAAUCAUUCCCAUUAUGGGUGUUUGGUUCAGAUGAAUAUAAAAACGUAAUCAAAUUAAUAUACUAACAUUAUCUUUAUAAUAUAUUAAUUUAACUUUAAAUUAAAUAUUUAAUAUUAAAAAUUUACAUCAAAAUUUUGAAAUAAUGUCAAAAUUUUAAAUCUAUUUUUUUUAAAAAAAAUU